rnacentral:lncRNA from 1 species
UAAUGUCAUCUUGAUGGUAGGAUUAAAACUCCUGUCACAGACUAUAUUUCUAAUGUUGGAACUGUACAAAUCACAAACAAAUAUGAAGACCUGGUAGCUAUCUCUUGAACAUCAAUGGAAAAAAAAAAAUCAACUAUAAGGAGAGGAAGAAAGAAUUUACACAAAAAAUGAAUUUACUUUUCAUGAUUGUCUUCAUUAGAAUCUAUCUUAAUUAUGAAGAGGUUGGUUAAGCUCUGAUGAUUGUUCAGCAACAAUGGGGUAAUUCUGGCGAGGAUGAUGUAACCCCGUCGAUGUCGAUAUCUUCGUUUUUCGGCCAAGGCUUUAUCCAAAGCAGACUUUGCAACUUUAGUAACACAUAUCAUAAG